rnacentral:rRNA from 1 species
UCAGUCGACUCCUACGGGGAGGCAGCAGUGGGGAAUAGUUGCACAAUGGGGGAAACCCUGAUGCAGCCAUGCCGCGUGUGUGAAGAAGGCCUUCGGGUUGUAAAGCACUUUCAGUAGGGAGGAAGGUAGUGUAGUUAACACCUGCAUUAUUUGACGUUACCUACAGAAGAAGCACCGGCUAACUCCGUGCCAGCAGCCGCGGUAAUACGGAGGGUGCGAGCGUUAAUCGGAAUUACUGGGCGUAAAGCGCAUGCAGGCGGCCUGUUAAGUCAGAUGUGAAAGCCCGGGGCUUAACCUCGGAAUUGCAUUUGAAACUGGCAGGCUAGAGUCUUGUAGAGGGGGGUAGGAAUUUCAGGUGUAGCGGUGAAAUGCGUAGAGAUCUGAAGGAAUACCAGUGGCGAAGGCGGCCCCCUGGACAAAGACUGACGCUCAGAUGCGAAAGCGUGGGGAGCAAACAGGAUUAGAUACCCUGGUAG